rnacentral:rRNA from 1 species
GACGAACGCUGGCGGCGUGCCUAAUACAUGCAAGUUGAGCGAUGAAGAUUGGUGCUUGCACCAAUUUGAAGAGCAGCGAACGGGUGAGUAACGCGUGGGGAAUCUGCCUUUGAGCGGGGGACAACAUUUGGAAACGAAUGCUAAUACCGCAUAACAACUUUAAACAUAAGUUUUAAGUUUGAAAGAUGCAAUUGCAUCACUCAAAGAUGAUCCCGCGUUGUAUUAGCUAGUUGGUGAGGUAAAGGCUCACCAAGGCGAUGAUACAUAGCCGACCUGAGAGGGUGAUCGGCCACAUUGGGACUGAGACACGGCCCAAACUCCUACGGGAGGCAGCAGUAGGGAAUCUUCGGCAAUGGACGAAAGUCUGGCCGAGCAACGCCGCGCGAGUGAAGAAGGUUUUCGGAUCGUAAAACUCUGUUGGUAGAGGAGAACGUUGGUGAGAGUGGAAAGCUCAUCAAGUGACGGUAACUACCCAGAAAGGGACGGCUAACUACGUG